rnacentral:rRNA from 1 species
UACAGAGGGGGCAAGCGUUGUUCGGAAUUACUGGGCGUAAAGGGCGCGUAGGCGGCCUGCUAAGUCGAACGUGAAAUCCCUGGGCUCAACCCCAGGAACUGCGUCCGAUACUGGUUGGCUUGAAUCCGGGAGAGGGAUGUGGAAUUCCAGGUGUGAGCGGUGAAAUGCGUAGAGAUCCGGAGGAACACCAGUGGCGAAGGCGACACGCUGGGCCAUACCUGACGCUGAAAGCGCGACAGCAUGGGGAGCAAACGGG